UUCGACCUGAGAUCAGACAAGACCACCCGCUGAACUUAAGCAUAUCAAUAAGCGGAGGAAAAGAAACUAACCAGGA
rnacentral:rRNA from 1 species